UACGAAGGGAGCUAGCGCUGUUCGGAAUCACUGGGCGUAAAGCGCACGUAGGCGGAUGUGUCAGUCAGGGGUGAAAUCCCGGAGCUCAACUUCGGAACUGCCUUUGAUACAGCACGUCUUGAGUCCGAUAGAGGUGGGUGGAAUUCCUAGUGUAGAGGUGAAAUUCGUAGAUAUUAGGAAGAACACCGGUGGCGAAGGCGGCCCACUGGAUCGGUACUGACGCUGAGGUGCGAAAGCGUGGGGAGCAAACAGG
rnacentral:rRNA from 1 species